rnacentral:tRNA from 1 species
AGAGAGGUGGCCGAGUGGUUUAAGGCGCACGCCUGGAAAGUGUGUAUACGCCAAAAGCGUAUCGGGGGUUCGAAUCCCUUCCUCUCUGC